rnacentral:rRNA from 1 species
UACGGGGGGGGUAAGCGUUGUUCGGAAUUACUGGGCGUAAAGGGCUCGUAGGCGGCCAACUAAGUCAUACGUGAAAUCCCUCAGCUUAACUGGGGAACUGCGUGUGAUACUGGAUGGCUUGGAUGUGGGAGAGGGAUGCGGAAUUCCAGGUGUAGCGGUGAAAUGCGUAGAUAUCUGGAGGAACACCGGUGGCGAAGGCGGCAUCCUGGACCAUUAUUGACGCUGAGGAGCGAAAGCCAGGGGAGCGAACGGG